UGGCUCAGGACGAACGCUGGCGGCGUGCUUAACACAUGCAAGUCGAACGGGGAUAUGCGAGCGGAAGGCUUCGGCCGGAAGGUUGCAUAUUCGAGUGGCGGACGGGUGAGUAACGCGUGAACAAUCUGUCCCAGACAGGGGGAUAACACUUGGAAACAGGUGCUAAUACCGCAUAAGACCACGGAGUCGCAUGGCACUGGGGUAAAAGGAGCAAUCCGGUUUGGGGUGAGUUCGCGUCCGAUUAGCCAGUUGGUGAGGUAACGGCCCACCAAAGCGACGAUCGGUAGCCGACCUGAGAGGGUGAUCGGCCACAUUGGAACUGAGAGACGGUCCAAACUCCUACGGGAGGCAGCAGGUGGGGAAUAUUGGGCAAUGGGCGAAAGCCCUGACCCAGCAACGCCGCGUGAGUGAAGAAGGCCUUCGGGUUGUAAAGCUCUGUUAUAGGGGACGAAGGAAGUGACGGUACCCUAUAAGGAAGCCCCGGCUAACUACGUGCCAGCAGCCGC
rnacentral:rRNA from 1 species